UUCCACAAGUUGACGAGUGAAAUAAUUUCCUUAGGCUACCGGUCGGUCCGAACUCACAGCCAACCAAAUUUGCAACGUUAGACGCCACACCUCUUUCCCUCGCCAAUUAAAUUCUUACCUCCCAUUCAGUUGAACACGCACAGAAAUUUCCUCUCACGUGCAUGAUGCCAAUUUACGUGCGCAUCACAUGAUACAAAUCUAUGCAAUCCUCCUCUUUUCUCCUAGUUGUUUCCCUCCACGGAGAGAAGCUCACGUCCUCUCGCUUCAGUAAGGAUACCCGGAGUGUUUUAGAAAAGAUGAUGGUCAUCGUAGCGUGGAGUUCCAAUUGGUGGCGUUAUCAGUAAUGAUGUGCAACAGUUCUAUCGGUGGUCUUCUUGUUCGUAAAUCAUGUUUGAAUCUGCCAUAGUUGGAAUCAGUGCUAUAGUUGGAAUCAGCAAUCACGGAUCAAAACCGAAAGGUGAUUUGCGGUAUCCUAAUAGAUCAGGGGUAGCAUUUUUAUCUGAAUCUGCCAUUUUUCCCUUCUAUCUCCUCUUCUCAACUAUUACUUUCUAGUCCGCAUUAAUACAAGCGUAUGGUUGAAUGCUCUGAGCAUGCCAAACCUUGUGCAGGACAAGAAAUGGGAAGAGAUUUCCGAGCCAGCUGCAUUCGUGGUCAAGAAUUUGUAGUUGUUCUAUUACAAAAUUGAACAAAAUUUUGUUAUGCUUAAUAUCUUUAGUUUAAUCUGCAUCUGUUUUAAUUCUA